AGAAUGCUACAGGCAUGGCCCUAAAGAAUGUAGCCUGAUGGGCAGUGUAGUCCGUGCUGCAGGGAGAAUGGACUACCAUACCCGUUAUGUGUCUGUGAGCGAGGGAGGGAGAGAAAGGAAAAGUCCGAGCUGUCACGGAGCAAAAACGGGAGCUGGAAGCAUGUAAAUAUAAUAAUAACCACAGCAACCAAGAAGAGUGCCUGACGAGCCCAGCUACAGCCCCGCUUCCUCUGAGACCAUUUCCAAUGAGGCUUUGGUGAGCAACAGAUGGAUUAACUGAAGGGCAGCGUCUCAUGACAAUGACGUGUGACGUCCGUGGCAGCAAGAGAUAUGUGCAGAUCAACAAUGGAAAAUAUGGAGCGUGGGAAAAAUUAAACUUCAGAUCUGAGCAAGCACCGAGCACGCUGCCACGGGAAUGUGAAAUCCACAGAGAAACCCCCCGGAUCCCCCCACUGACACGACCGCUGUGGCACCGGGCAAACCUCCACCCGCCC
ensembl:lncRNA